AGAUGCAUGCUCGAGCGGCCGCCAGUGUGAUGGAUAUCUGCAGAAUUCGCCCUUAGAGUUUGAUCAUGGCUCAGAUUGAACGCUGGCGGUAGGCUUAACACAUGCAAGUCGUGCGAGAAAGUAUCUUCGGAUAUGAGUAGAGCGGCGGACGGGUGAGUAACGCGUAGGAAUCUACCUAGUAGAAGGGGAUAGCCCGGGGAAACCCGGAUUAAUACCGUAUACCUCCUUCGGGAGAAAGAAGGCCUCUCUUUGAAGCUUUCGCUACUAGAUGAGCCUGCGUAAGAUUAGCUUGUUGGUGAGGUAAAGGCUCACCAAGGCUACGAUCUUUAGCUGGUCUGAGAGGACGAUCAGCCACAUUGGGACUGAGACACGGCCCAGACUCCUACGGGAGGCAGCAGUGGGGAAUAUUGGACAAUGGGCGCAAGCCUGAUCCAGCCAUACCGCGUGUGUGAAGAAGGCCUUCGGGUUGUAAAGCACUUUAAGCAGGGAGAAAAAGUUAUAAGUUAAUACCUUAUAACCCUGAUGUUACCUGCAGAAUAAGCACCGGCUAAUUCCGUGCCAGCGGCCGCGGUAAUACGGAAGGUGCAAGCGUUAAUCGGAAUUACUGGGCGUAAAGCGCGCGUAGGUGGUUUGUUAAGUUGGAUGUGAAAGCCCUGGGCUCAACCUAGGAACUGCAUCCAAAACUAACUCACUAGAGUACGAUAGAGGGAGGUAGAAUUCAUAGUGUAGCGGUGGAAUGCGUAGAUAUUAUGAAGAAUACCAGUGGCGAAGGCGGCCUCCUGGAUCUGUACUGACACUGAGGUGCGAAAGCGUGGGUAGCGAACAGGAUUAGAUACCCUGGUAGUCCACGCCGUAAACGAUGACAACUAGCUGUUGGGAGACUAUGUCUUUCAGUGGCGCAGCUAACG
rnacentral:rRNA from 1 species